CUAUCUUGGCCGGGUCAUGAUUCAAUGUUGACCAAGUCAUGAUUGACAACAUAUGCCCAUCCUAUCUUGGUCGACCAGGAUUGCAUUGCGCCAGGAUAUAUUACUUCCAAACGCAGCCAAGAUUUCUUCAAGCGUCAAUCCUGGCCAAGUCAGGAUGUAUUUCUUCAAACGCAGUCAAGAUUUCUUCAAGCGUCAAUCCUGGCCUAGUCAGGAUAACAUUGCGCCAGGAUGUAUGACUUCCAAACGCAGUCAUGAUUUAUUCAAGCGUCAAUCCUGGCCAAGUCAGGAUGUAUUUCUUCAAACACAGUCAAGAUUGCAUUGCGCCAGGAUAUGUGACUUCCAAACGCAGUCAUGAUUCGCUUUAGUAUGGUAAUAUGUAAGCGCUUCCCUAACACCGAAAAACCGCUGAAAUGUGUAUUGGGUUUCCAACCUCCCCGUUCGUCUCAGCUGACAAGUAAGUACCACGUAACAGUAAUUUGUGUGUACUGAACCAUCAACAUAUUAAACUGCAGAUCCAUACCGGCCAAGACUGGUGAUAGAUAUGUAUAGUAUUUUAGAUUGACGCAUGCUCAGCUGACUGGGGACUAUGAGUAUGGAAAACCAUUUUGCAGAAUUAGGAAUGUGCAGCUGAAAGUGGUCAAAGAUCAAAGGCCAAGACUGAUGUCAGCUUGAAAGAAACCACUCUGUGCAUUGGAUUUGCUAGAUAAAAGAUGAUGAAUUAAUGCACCAGUUUCAAGUCCAAAGAUCGAAAAGCACCAUUUAGGUCAAGGUCAACUCCAAAUAUUGGUUAAAACCUAAUUUGUACCAACAACUGAUUCCAGAUGAGGGCAGUCUUGAUAGGACACCCAUAAAAUAGCUAAACAGGAUUGAUGUGGAAGCCUGGAUGCUUAGCUGUGCCACUGAUUUCAUUUCCUGUGGAUGUGUGCUUGGUGCAAUGCAAUAAGGACAUAUAACCCAUAGAAUUCACAUGAAUAAUAUGGAAAGAAAUUGCUGGAGAGAUUGCUUUGGCAAAACUCAUUUUCUAUAUUUUAGAAUAACUUUGUCAAAGAUCAAGUUUGUUUGGAUGACAUUUUGAUGCAAUAACAUUUUUUAUGCAUAAAAUCUUGUUAUUUACUUAAAUGGUCAAAGGAUCAAGACACUUGAUGUGGGUUUUAAUGAAGCACACUUACUUUGGUAUUGUUAAGUUAAUUGGAAUAUUUUCACUUUGUAUAAUAGGUUGACAAUUGUAGAUUUCAUUCUCAGUCAAGAUUGAUAUUUAUGUUUUACAUCCAAACAAUAAACUCUUUUGUUUUGGACAAAAAAUUUAUUUAAACAUGAAGACUUUAUUCUGAAGACACACCCAAAGAAACAAUUACAGGUUAUUAAGGAUAAAUAACACAAACAAACUUUUUUUUCCAAAAUUCAGAUAUCUUUGCUAAAUUAGGUGCCUUUCUCACUUUGGAAUUAAUAUUUGUAUAGUUAAACAACAUAAUUUUUGGCCAAGGUACAUUAUUUGGCAAAAAGUGCAAAAAUGCAACUUUACAGUUCAAUAUGUUUUUUGAAAAGUUUAUAAAAUGUAUUCAGUUUUCUUGCUUCAAAGUUUCUGGGGAAAUUUUCA